GCUAUAGCCUUGGGGGGUGGGGCUGGCCAACUUCGUCCGCCGGACUCAGAUUGCCGCGAGACUUUGCCAGGGGCGUUCGUGUACAAAAAAUAGGCCACGGACAAAGCCGCACUGAAAAAUAACCACCCGAAGGCCGGGGCGCCAAGUUCAUCCAGCGGAAAAAGGCCACAAAAACGGGUGGGCUAUAGCCUUGGGGGGUCGGGCUGGGCAACUUCGUCCGCCGGACUCGGAAUAGCGCGAGACUUUUCAAGGUGCCUCCGAGUGCCAAAAAUAGGCCACGGGCACAGCCGCACCCAAAAAUAACCACCCGAAGGCCGGGGCGCCAAGUUCGUCCUGCGGAAAAAUGCCACGAAUACGGGUGGGCUACAGCCUUGGGGGGUGGGGCUGGCCAACUUCGUCCGCCGGACUCGGAAUGGCGUGAGACUUUGCGAGGCGCCUCUGUGUGGUAAAAAAAGGCCACGCGCACAGCCGCGCCCAAAAAUAACCGCCCGAAGGCCGGGGCGCCAAGUUCGUCCUGCGGAAAAAUGCCACGAAUACGGGUGGGCUACAGCCUUGGGGGGUGGGGCUGGCCAACUUCGUCCGCCGGACUCGGAAUGGCGUGAGACUUUGCGAGGCGCCUCUGUGUGCUAAAAAAAACCCACGGGCACAGCCGCGCCCAUAAAUAACCACCCGAAGGCCGGGGCGCCAAGUUCGUCCAGCGGAAAAAGGCCACAAAAACGGGUGGGCUAUAGCCAUGGGGGGUCGGGCUGGGCAACUUCGUCCGCCGGACUCGGAAUGCCGCGAGACUUUUCAAGGUGCCUCCGAGUGCCAAAAAUAGGCCACGGGCACAGCCGCACCCAAAAAUAACCACCCGAAGGCCGGGGCGCCAAGUUCGUCCAGCGCAAAAAGGCCACAAAAACGGGUGGGCUAUAGCCUUGGGGGGUGGGGCUGGCCAACUUCGUCCGCCGGACUCGGAAUGCCGCGAGACUUUGCGAGGGGCCUCCGUGUGCCAAA
rnacentral:lncRNA from 1 species